rnacentral:rRNA from 1 species
AUUGAACGCUGGCGGCAGGCCUAACACAUGCAAGUCGGACGGUAGCACAGAGGAGCUUGCUCCUCGGGUGACGAGUGGCGGACGGGUGAGUAAUGUCUGGGGAUCUGCCCGAUAGAGGGGGAUAACCACUGGAAACGGUGGCUAAUACCGCAUAACGUCGCAAGACCAAAGAGGGGGACCUUCGGGCCUCUCACUAUCGGAUGAACCCAGAUGGGAUUAGCUAGUAGGCGGGGUAAUGGCCCACCUAGGCGACGAUCCCUAGCUGGUCUGAGAGGAUGACCAGCCACACUGGAACUGAGACACGGUCCAGACUCCUACGGGAGGCAGCAGUGGGGAAUAUUGCACAAUGGGCGCAAGCCUGAUGCAGCCAUGCCGCGUGUAUGAAGAAGGCCUUCGGGUUGUAAAGUACUUUCAGCGGGGAGGAAGGCGAUAAGGUUAAUAACCUUGUCGAUUGACGUUACCCGCAGAAGAAGCACCGGCUAACUCCGUGCCAGCCGCCGCCGUAA